GACGAACGCUGGCGGCGUGCUUAACACAUGCAAGUCGAACGGAAAGGCCCUGCUUUUGUGGGGUGCUCGAGUGGCGAACGGGUGAGUAACACGUGAGUAACCUGCCCUUGACUUUGGGAUAACUUCAGGAAACUGGGGCUAAUACCGGAUAGGAGCUCCUGCUGCAUGGUGGGGGUUGGAAAGUUUCGGCGGUUGGGGAUGGACUCGCGGCUUAUCAGCUUGUUGGUGGGGUAGUGGCUUACCAAGGCUUUGACGGGUAGCCGGCCUGAGAGGGUGACCGGCCACAUGGGGACUGAGAUACGGCCCAGACUCCUACGGGGGGCAGCAGGGGGGAAUAUUGCACAAUGGGCGGAAGCCUGAUGCAGCAACGCCGCGUGCGGGAUGACGGCCUUCGGGUUGUAAACCGCUUUCGCCUGUGACGAAGCGUGAGUGACGGUAAUGGGUAAAGAAGCACCGGCUAACUACGUG
rnacentral:rRNA from 1 species